CCCUUAGAUGUUCUGGGCCGCACGCGUGCUACACUGAGUGGAUCAGCGGGUCAGGUUGCGCGAAAGUGUUUCCUAAUCUUUAAAUCCGCUCGUGAUGGGGAUUGACGGUUGCAAUUUUCCGUCAUGAACGAGGAAUACCUUGUAAGCGCGGGUCAUCAUCCCGCGCUGAAUACGUCCCUGCCCUUUGUACACACCGCCCGUCGCUCCUACCGAUUGAGUGGUCCGGUGAGGCUUUGGGAUCUGAGCGGAAAGAGCGUUUCGCUGUUUCUGCCCGGAAAACUCAGUCGAAACUUAUCAUUUAGAGGAAGGAGAAGUCGUAACA
rnacentral:rRNA from 1 species